UACCAGCUCUCCGAGUAGUGUGGAUGUUUAUUGGGCCUAAAGCAUCCGUAGCUUGCUAAAUAAGUCCCCUGUUAAAUCCACCGAUUCAAUCGUUGGAUUGCGGAGGAUACUGUUUGGCUAGGGGACGGGAGAGGCCGACGGUAUUUCUGUGGUAGGGGUGAAAUCCUAUAAUCCCAGGAAGACCACCAGUGGCGAAGGCUGUCGGCUAGAACGCGCCCGACGGUGAGGGAUGAAAGCUGGGGGAGCGAACCGGAUUAGAUACCCGGGUAGUCCCAGCUGUAAACGAUGCAGGCUAGGUGUUUGGACGGCCACGUGCCGUUCUAGUGCCGCAGGGAAGCCGUUAAGCCUGCCGCCUGGGGAGUACGGCCGCAAGGCUGAAACUUAAAGGAAUUGGCGGGGGAGCACCACAAGGGGUGAAGCUUGCGGUUU
rnacentral:rRNA from 1 species